rnacentral:rRNA from 1 species
AUACGGAGGGUCCAAGCGUUAUCCGGAAUCAUUGGGUUUAAAGGGUUCGCAGGCGGUCAAUUAAGUCAGAGGGGAAAGCCCAUCGCUCAACGAUGGAACUGCCUUUGAUACUGGUUGGCUUGAGUUAUACGGAAGUAGAUAGAAUAAGUAGUGUAGCGGUGAAAUGCAUAGAUAUUACUUAGAAUACCGAUUGCGAAGGCAGUCUACUACGUAUAUACUGACGCUGAGGGACGAAAGCGUAGGGAGCGAACAGGAUUAGAAACCCUAGUAGUCC